AACGAACGCUGGCGGCAGGCUUAACACAUGCAAGUCGAACGCCCCGCAAGGGGAGUGGCAGACGGGUGAGUAACGCGUGGGAAUCUACCCAGUUCUACGGAACAACACAGGGAAACUUGUGCUAAUACCGUAUACGCCCUACGGGGGAAAGAUUUAUCGGAAUUGGAUGAGCCCGCGUAAGAUUAGCUAGUUGGUGGGGUAAUGGCCUACCAAGGCGACGAUCUUUAGCUGGUCUGAGAGGAUGAUCAGCCACACUGGGACUGAGACACGGCCCAGACUCCUACGGGAGGCAGCAGUGGGGAAUAUUGGACAAUGGGCGCAAGCCUGAUCCAGCCAUGCCCCGUGAGUGAUGAAGGCCUUAGGGUUGUAAAGCUCUUUCAGUGGGGACGAUAAUGACGGUACCCACAGAAGAAGCCCCGGCUAACUUCGUGCCAGCCGCCGCGGUAACAC
rnacentral:rRNA from 1 species